GUCUUCUGAAUUAUCGCAGGAAACAGUUCUACCAGUUGCACAACAAGGGUAUUCAUUUCCCAAGCCUUUGAUAAAUAUGUCUUUGUCACCUGCUGUGUGUAGUGGAACUGAAAACACUCAUUACCAACUUUUCUGUCACCUCCAGCAGUAAUUCUCUUCUCCUUUCCAAGGCUGCAGUAAAGUCUCCCAAAUCUCAGGAACUUAGCAAAAUAAAGGAUGGCCACCAAUGCCAAUUACAUUUCAUGAAGAUAGAAAGCCGAUAUACAGUUAAAAACGGCAUAUUAGAACUCCACAAUGACAAAGAAAAUGGAGAUGCAAAUCAGCAAAUGAAAGACUUGGGGGAAGAAAUACCCUACAAAACACCAAAAUUUUCCUUAAGUUGAGGAAGGCAGAAAACAGAGAAGGAGGCAGAAAACAGAGAAGGAAGUAGAAAACAGAGAAGGCAUGUGAAGCUUCAGAUUCAGUGAAAGUGCAGGCUUAUGUAUCAAUGACAUAAUUAAUGCAAACAAGAAAUCUAAUGUAGUACCAUUGAAAUGCAAAAAACAUAAAUACAGGAAAAAAAUAACAGCCACAUUUUUCAU